GAUGAACGCUAGCUACAGGCUUAACACAUGCAAGUCGAGGGACCGGCGCACGGGUGAGUAACACGUAUCCAACCUGCCCUUUACUCGGGGAUAGCCUUUCGAAAGAAAGAUUAAUACCCGAUAUAAAGGAUGGGGAUGCGUUCCAUUAGGUUGUUGGUGAGGUAACGGCUCACCAAGCCUUCGAUGGAGAGGGGUUAGGAGAGGAAGGACCCCUACAUUGGAACCGCGAAACGGUCCAAACUCCUACGGAGGGCAGCAGUGAGUAAUAGUGGUGAAUGGGCGCUAGCCUGAACCAGCCAAGUAGCGUGAAGGAUGAAGGCUUAUGGGUCGUAAACUUCUUUUAUAUAAGAAUAUGUAUUAUAUGAAUAAGGAUCGGCUAACUCCGUGCCAGCAGCCGCGGUAAUAC
rnacentral:rRNA from 1 species